rnacentral:rRNA from 1 species
UUAGACCUCAGAUCAGACAAGACUACCCGCUGAACUUAA